rnacentral:rRNA from 1 species
UAGGGAAUCUUCCGCAAUGGACGCAAGUCUGACGGAGCAACGCCGCGUGAGUGAAGAAGGAUUUCGGUUCGUAAAACUCUGUUGUUAGAGAAGAACAGCGCUUAGAGUAACUGUUAUGCGUGUGACGGUAUCUAACCAGAAAGCCACGGCUAACUACGUGCCAGCAGCCGCGGUAAUACGUAGGUGGCAAGCGUUGUCCGGAUUUAUUGGGCGUAAAGCGAGCGCAGGCGGUCAAUUAAGUCUGAUGUGAAAGCCCCCGGCUCAACCGGGGAGGGUCAUUGGAAACUGGUUGACUUGAGUGCAGAAGAGGAGAGUGGAAUUCCAUGUGUAGCGGUGAAAUGCGUAGAUGUAUGGAGGAACACCAGUGGCGAAGGAGACUCUCUGGUCUGUAACUGACGCUGGGGCUCGAAAGCGUGGGUAGCAAACAGG